AGUGUUACUUGGCUAUGUGGACAAUAUGGAGUUGCUGGCUCAAACAAGAAGAUCACGUUCUUAAAUGUUGUUUCUUGGCUACAUGGACCUUAUGAAGCUACUGGUUCACACAUGACACACAAGAAGAGCACUGUUGCUUAAUGUGUAUGUUACUGAAAUCUUUUUUUAAAUACAUACACAUAUGACA